ensembl:lincRNA 4933413J09Rik RIKEN cDNA 4933413J09 gene
AUGAAGGCAUUGAAAGCAAGGGCAUACAGGAAAUAUGAUGGUGUGAAAAAGUCCAGCAUGAACUCAGACAGGACACAGACCAGGACCAGAGCCUCAUGUAGACAGAGCUGCUGCAGAAGGAGCAAUGAGCAUGCCUGCACCCUUGAGAGACCUGAGGAGGAUGAAGGAAAAUACGGACAACUUGAAUCCAUGACAGUCUUCAGUCUAGGAUCAAGGCCUCCUCACAAAAGCCAUCUCCUUGUAGCUGAGAACUCAACAGACUGUCUGGAAUCAGUUGCGGCAUCACAGUCCUGUAACACCAGAACUCCCAGGCAGAGAUGGAUGUCUGCAAGUGCCAGGUGGCUUGGUCUACACAGGUUGACAGAGAGAACAAACUUCCCACAAAUUUGUCCUCUGUUCUUCAUGUGGAUGGGGCCACCAGGUCUUUGUCACAGAAACGGAGCAUCGGGAAUUACAUAG